rnacentral:ncRNA from 1 species
GUCAAAACUGAAUUUGUACCUCAUAUAAUAGUGAGAAUAUGGCUCACAAGUCUCUACCGAACUGCCUUAAACAGUUUGCCUAUGAGGGAAGUGUACCUAGGU